UACGUAGGGACCAAGCGUUGUUCGGAUUUACUGGGCGUAAAGGGCGCGUAGGCGGCCAGUGCAAGUCAGUUGUGAAAUCUCCGAGCUUAACUCGGAAAGGUCAACUGAUACUGCUCGGGUAGAGUGCGGAAGGGGCAACUGGAAUUCUUGGUGUAGCGGUGAAAUGCGUAGAUAUCAAGAGGAACACCUGCGGCGAAGGCGGGUUGCUGGGCCGACACUGACGCUGAAGUGCGAAAGCUAGGGGAGCGAACGGG
rnacentral:rRNA from 1 species